rnacentral:rRNA from 1 species
UACGUAGGGGGCAAGCGUUGUCCGGAUUUAUUGGGCGUAAAGAGCGUGUAGGCGGCUUUACAGGUCCGUUGUGAAAACUCGAGGCUCAACCUCGAGACGCCGGUGGAAACCGUAAAGCUAGAGUCCGGAAGAGGCGAGUGGAAUUCCUGGUGUAGCGGUGAAAUGCGCAGAUAUCAGGAGGAACACCUAUUGCGAAGGCAGCUCGCUGGGACGUAACUGACGCUGAGACGCGAAAGCGUGGGGAGCAAACAGG